GGACAAAUUGCUAUCUAGCUAACGUAAAGUUCUGUCUUGAGUGGAUAACGUUAACUAAUUCAUCAAGACUCCCGGGGGGUGAUCUGGCUGCUAUCAGGAGAAGCCAACCACAGCAAAGACAGGGUCCAACUACAUCGACACCAACUGGAUUAUGUGUAUAGUCCUGCUGCGCACACAGGAUUCAUUGGUGACACUGAAAUGUUAUCUCAAGAGGAAAGAUUUUCUAAUGGCAGUUCAUCAAAUCCAUGGACCUUUUGAGAGACUGUGCUAGUGGAUGAAGAACCGGCAAACAACCCUCUGAACAGCGUACUGGCUGCAGUUUUGCCUGUGGAGGCUUACAGAUGCUGCUUACACCAGCCUCAGGCUAGAUGACAGCUUAUCAACAUGAGUGACAAGUGUGGAGGUGAGAACUUGACUAACGGGGAGGAGGCAGAAGCAGUGUUACACUGUAUGCCUCAAGGUGAAAAGUUUUAUAUUGGUGUUUUAAUCAGAUGGACAAGUGAAGCAAUAGUUCUCACCUCCAAAUGCUACAAUAUUUCUGACAGAAACAAACACUUCUUUAACACUGAAUCCACUGAAUUAAUGCUGCACUGAGCAUAUUGAAUCAUCAGUGUCUGACUGAACCAGUACCUUUUAACAUUGGAGCUUCCCUCACCAGUCUUAAAAAAGUACGAGUAACAUCAGAGUGCAUUAGUUAUUCCUGUAACCAUGGGUACUUUGCCUGAUGUACAGUAUUGCAAUGAUGUAAUAACAUUAACAUUCAAGGAUUGCUCUUUCCACAGUCUCAUCAGAUCAGCUGACCAAUUUGCAUCGAAACUCAGACUUAACCUUUGAGUCAUAACUCAAAUCUGAACGCACCGACAUGAUACAUAUAUUUAUAGAUUUAUAGAUUGUGACUUACACUUCUCAACAUAUCAUCAUCUCUGAUGUGCAUCGCUAAUAAACAUCCAUAGAUCUGCUUGGAAAUCACAGGAAAAGAGAUGCAGAACUUGCCUGAGAAUAACCAUGUUUUUAAAUUUUCAUCCAAGUAUAAAUAUCAAAGUUAAUCCAAUGAUAGUUGUCUGUACAUCCAUGGGUACACUGCAAACAGUAACUGCUAAUAGCUUAUUCUACACACAUUUAAUCGAGCCAAUUUGCCAAACUCUAAUCAAAUGUAGGCUAAAGAAAUGGGGCCCAAGUUCUUUUUGUCCUGCUCCUGUACCCGACUAGUGUUGGAUAUGCAUAUUUUUUUCCACCCUUUUUUACUCAAGUUGUAGUCCAGAGCUAAUUCACUUCCAUGGAUCCCCCCAAAGCAAUAUGGGAAAUGUAAAUUCCAAAAUGGAAAGCAUGAUUAUCCCCAAAAUCAAAGUAAGAAAAGGAACAAAGAAUAAUAGUAGAAGUGACAAAAACUGACACCCCUCUAUUCAUUUAUAUACAGAUAUUUGCCCUGUGUUGAAAGUAAGUGGACAUACAGAAAAAACCUCAACUGUCACAAUUUGUGGAGAGGGGACUGGCAGCUUCAUUAUGCAAUAUGUAAUAUUGUGAUUAUGCAACAUUUACCAGCAAAAUAAAAGAUAUAAACAAAAUGUGUUCACAUUGUGAGGCAGUUCACUCUAAAAAUAAAAAACUUCUUGCUUGUGUCAUCUCCGUUUCCAUGGAAAUACAUGGGGUAUGACUAAUACCUGGAAAACAAUCACUCACGUCAGUAGACUCCUAUGUAAUGAAACCUAGUUUACUACUCCAGCAAGUAGGCUGACGCUUAGUAACGACCUAGCAACAGAGACGAUUUCUAGUCCCUGUUGAGUCAGCCAGCCAACUUCAGCUAAUGCUUUCUGGAGAUUGCUGCAUUUCCCAAACUGAAUAAAUACCUCACAUAUAAACACAAAACUGCUUUGCUAGCUCAAUCUCACUGUAACUAAGAUAACCACUGAAAAAAUCAUUUUUCCAUGGACAGAUUUAGCUACUACGUCCAACAUUUUUUAAGCUAGUAGUGCCGUGUCACUGACUCACUGGCACAGCUGAUGGAGAAUGCUGGAGUGGGAGCUGAGAUAUACUCUAACUAAAGGGAAAAUGGUUAAGUCUUGUUGUGUAUGGGGGUGCCGGGUAACGAUAAAGAGUGGAGAAGGGUUCGGGUUUUUCAGUGUGUAUGAGGAUGUGUGCAUGUGUAACUCGUUCCACUGUCUCAAAGUUCAAUCCACUUGGUAAAUGGUACGUUUUGUUUUCCCCACAACUCCUAAUCAGCUCAGUUCAAUCCAGUUUCUCAAACAUAAAAGAAAGACGAUUCAAAACUCCGCUUCAGUUUUUCACCACUAAUCCCCACACAAAACAAAACAAACCAAAGACGCUAGCAAAGCAAGACGGUACAUAAAAUAAAGCCAGUAGAAACGUCCACUGUGUUUAACUGUAUAUCUUCAGUUGUUACAGUUACGGCUAAAAAUGACAACAGAAGAAAAAACAAGUUUGCCAAGUUCACAUAUCCCCACAACUCAAAUCAACCACUAGUGGACUCCCCAGAAGUGACUGUUGUUGUUGGCGUGACGCCAUGGUCUAUAGGCGGAGUAAUAUUUUUAGUGAUGAGGCUUUUUUCAUUUGAGCACGGCUAGGUGUGCUGUCAUGCUGAUUUGAGCACGUUCUAAAUGUCUAGUUGACCAAUCAGAUUGCAUGGUCAGAACUACGUGUUGUAUAACCUGAGUUAACCAGUUACAAAGCUGCUGUUUCCAUGCUGAUCUGUUGUCAGACAAAAUAGAGAAUAAUAGAGAGAAGCGAGUCUCCUGGUUUGCUUAUCUUCAUUAUGGCUAAACUCAAAAGAGGCUAUACUAAUCUGAAGGCAUUAUAGAGUAGGUCAUAAUGAUGAUGUCACAUUAUCUCUCACAUUAAUAGUAGAUCUCAGUUAAAAGCUGCUUCUCUGAUCAAACUGAGGUACAGCAUCAGUGACAUGUCCUCUCCGAUUCACUCUGAUUAUACAUCAGAAAGUCUUGCGCUGAAGUUUUGACAGUGCCUGACAGCCCAUUUGCAUGUCAUAUGGAGGUCUCAUACCCUUUUAUAUCAGAUAUCACAGUUCCACAGUAGACAACCUGACCCCAAAAUUCUGUCACAUUUCAUACAAGCUAGAAGCCCCAGGGCCUUUACAUACAGUAUGCACUUGCAUGCCAAUCAGGACAUUCCACCGUUUCCCACAGGCUGACACAAAGAAAGUUCCUCACAUCUCACCUCUGCAUCUGCUCUUCUUUAGUGCCCGGAGACCUGAAAUGACAGAAUUGUCUAUGAUAAUCUACAGCUUCAACUACAUGAUUUGGUGCACUCCCUGCUAAAGCCUACCCAAUAGGGUUCUUUUUGUUCCCACAUUUAUGCACACCAAAGAUAAAUCUCGUAUCUUGUCUUUCAGAUGACCCCCUCAGGUUCAUUGAGUCUGUGGGCUGUGUGUCAUUACUCAGGAUUCAGAAGUAAAAAAACUUUUUUUCAGUUUUGACGGCGACCUGCUCUGCUUCAGUAGAGGCACACAGCCUCAGCACAUGGGAGCCCUUUUUACCAUUUUCCCUAAUCCCACUAUGGGGGUUGAUGAGGGUGACCUAUCUUAUUUUGCAGACAACUUCCUCAGGUUUACACAGUAACCAUGAGCGGCAGGUUAUUCCCCGAGGGUUUGAUCAAUGGUGGCUCAUAGCCUUGGGUCAUUCUCUACUGUGGCCCCUUCAGUGGACCAGAGGAUGAAUAUUUCAUCAAGAGUUUGAUUUAGACUGAUCACCACUUUGUAGUGGCUUAUACGAGCAGGUGGGGAGGAGAACCUGUCAAUGUGGACUUUGGCAGGCUUCUCAUGUGUUCUAAAGGUGACACUGACAUCACAUUGUCAGAGGUCCAUUAUCAUUCUGAUUGAAAUCUGAAAGCGGAUGUUGGGGCAGAUUUGUCUGUGAUGGAGCAGAACAGCAUUUCAGAGCAGUAUUCAUUUAUUUCAACACAAUUGCCAUGUUCAGUGGAUCUUGCAUUAGAAAAGUAAAUGCACACACAUGUCUGUUCAACUUUGGUGUGUCUGACAUGCAAAUUUGAACUGUUGACCAAUAUUAAACCACAUUUAUUAAUAGUAACAGCAUAGCAGUGUUUGAGUCAGGAUUGUCUGGGAGGGAGUCAAAAGGGACCAUAAGGUACCUUAGAAGCAGGUCACAGCUACGUCCAAGCAGACCAUAAAACAAUACUGUGAAAACUGUACACCCACUGAGUGCUACAAAAUAAUUAAAUGAUCUAAGGAUUGAUAUUAAACAUAUUAUAUCAGACAUAAAGCUUUUUUUUUAUUACACUAAAGAGGUGAGCAUUUUAAAGAAAUGAUAAAAUCAUAUAGAUGGAAAAUAAGAUGAAAGGGUAACUUUCCUUUCAUCAGAAGUUAACUUUGCCACUGACAAACAUUUUAUCAGUAAUUUACUUGAUGUCAACUUCAAAGUUUAUCUGUAUCAAGAAAACCCCAUACAUUUACUCUGCAUCACAUACUUACUGAUAAUAAAAUGACUUUUUCAUUAUAGUUAAUUAAAUUGAAAAGUGACACUAUAUUUAGUGAUGACUGUUAUGUAGUUUUCCAUGCGUGGUAAUGAUGGCAAACUGCUGUUAGUCACGUCUGACAGUCAAAAGCUGAAAAUAUCAGAUAUCAUCUAAAUCGAUCCUGUAGACAGCUGUAGAAACUGAGCAUCCAGACUGACACUGCUUUGAGAUGCACAUUUACCAGAUAAUAGCCAACAGCUUCACUUUGUAGUUUGACUGACCCACCAAAUAAAUGUUGAUAUAGCCUAUAGAAUCUAAAAUAAGAAGCCUGCUGACAGCUUUGAUCCUGCUCUUCUUUUUAAGGUUCAGUAAAAGACGCUUAGUCUUUGUAUUGUCUCUUUCUAUUAGACAUUACUUAUGACAAAUGAGUACCAUUUGCAUUGCAUUUGUAUAAUUAUGAUCAUUUCUUGCUUAUUUGUGAUUUCUUUGUGACAUGAAAGAGGACAAAUAAAACAUACAAUCAAGUAAAAUGCUGAAUGAGUUGCUGUUUCUUCAGGGACAAUUAGAUUUUCCCCAUGUGGGUCCAUGUACAGUAGCACCGAUGAUGCAGGAUGACAUCACAAAACUGUCUAGUGAAUAAGUCACUUGUCAGUCUGUAUGACUGCACGCUUUUAGCCCUUGGUUCAUUUGUAGAAAAAAACAAAACAAAGCAUGAACCAGCUGAAAAAUGAAAGGCAAUACUUCAUAAUUGUAUUCUUUGGUGUGGACUAAAUAAACCAAACUAUAACACCAAACUAUAACCUAUUCUGAAGAGAAGUCUCAUAAAGCAUGUUACAGAUGUCCUUUUGUGCACAUGGAUGUAGGGCUACAAUAUGUAGCCUAGGAAAUCUCUCUCUCUCUCUCUGUCUCUCUGUCUGUCUCUCUCUCUCUCUCUGUCUCACACACACACACAUAUACAUACUGCAUUGCCUCCAGGGCUAACAGACAAAGCUAUAACAAUUGCUCCCUCAUCUUGAUAAACAACCAAUAUUACAUUUAACAAUCGACUCAAACACUGCCUCAGUAAAUUGUGAGGAUACAUAACACAGAGUAGGAUGGUGUACUCAGCAAGACCCUCCGUGACAGAUUUUUAUAUGAUACCAUAUGAGACAGCACAAUAACAUUUAAUAACCAGGCAAACCCAGCUCCCAGCCAGUGUGAUGCAUUUUGAUAUCUGUAAUACAACAGCAGACACCAGUUAAUUUAGAGCAGGGGUCAGUAACCUAUGGCACGCAUCCCCACGGUGCCACGCAAGGCCAUUAAUCAUCAUGUUUUGAAGUUUUAUUAAAUAUCAAAGUAAUCCAGUGAUAGCUGUCUGUGCAUCCAUGCAAACAAGAACUGCUAAUAGCUAAUUCUGCACACAUUUAAUAGAGCCAAUUUGCCAAACUGUAAUUAAAUACAGCUAAAGACAUGGGGCUCAAGUUAUUUUUGUCCUGCUCCUGUACCCAGCUAGGGUUGAAUGUGUGUACUUUUUUUUCCCACCCUUUUUUAUUCAGUUGUAGUCCACAGUUAAUUCACUGAAUCCAUGACAACAUUAUACUUCUUGUUUAGCACUAUGGGAAAUAUAGUUCCAAAAUGGAAAGCAUGAUCAUCCCCAAAAUUGAAAUGAGACAAGGAGCAAAGAAUAAUAGAAGUGACAAAAACUGACACUCCUUUAGCCAUUCAUAUACAAAUAUUUGCCCUGUAAGAAUAAAUUAGCUGAGAGUAGCAAAUGCCCAUCUGUUUAAAUGAAAUAUGUUUGUUUUUGACAGGAACAUUGAAAAUGUCAGUGAUGGAGUUACAGUUCAUGUUAAAGAUCUCAAUCAAUCAUAAAUGUCAGCCAAUAGAGUUCACUUUUUUGCUAAUCCAACAUUCAGAACAACUCUACAACAUUAAUAGACAUGGUCCGUAUAGUAAUACAUAUCAAGAUGGCUGAUGUCAGGUAAGUUAUAAUCAUUUUAGCAGGCUGGAAAUAUAUUUGCCAGCUAACCAUCAGUGUUGUAGUCACUUCUGGUCAGAGGGACCUGGUGCAAUAAGCUGGUCACUCUGAAGACACCUCAAAACCUCUUCUUGGGGUGACAGCCACAUUUGAAAUCAGGUUUACUGAUCUUUGUAAGAGACAUUAUUGAUGUCAGCCUGUUGACCAAAAUACUUGAUGUCUGAAAGACAAUUUUCUCUUGAUGUGACCUAGCUGGUAUUUCUGUAUUGUGGGUCACUGCAGAGUUCAGAGUUCUGACAGGACACAGAUCUGUUGCUGUGGUGGAAAUGUGUCAACAGAAUAAGUCACUUUUCAUCUCAUACACUGCAGAGUUCUAUUCCCAGAUGUCUAGUUAAUCUCUGGGUCACAAUAUUCUGAGCUUAUAUAUGAUCAUACAUGAUCUUAUAGGGUACAUGGCCAGUCAACAGUGAUUUCUCUUAUGCCCUCUUAUGUCUAACGUAAAGCACUUCGAAUUGCGUUGUUGUUUAAAGGUGCUAUAAAAAUAAACUUGACCAGACCAGAAAUGGCUGAGCAUGAAAUCAUACGAUUUAACAAGGUCUUGUAAUUUUUUAAAUAACUUUUCACCAUUUUUGCAUUAUUAGCAAUUGUAAUUUAUAGACAAAAAAAUCUGAGAAUUUCUUGUCACUGUAAUUUUUUUUAGCAGUGAUCCAUCAAUCUGACUCCAUGUUGUGACUGUAGCUUUUUUUGAUGUAUUCUGUGUCAGAACAUAGAACCCAGUUCAGUUCUAUGUGAAAAAAUACAGAAAAAAACAGACUUAGUUGCGGUCUAUGAGCUCUAGCUGAACUAAUGGAAGCUGAAGGUAACUUUAGGUCAUGCUUGUAAGAGAGGAGUAAUUUUCCACAAGGUAAAGUUUGGUUGCAGCCACAGACUCACAGCAAAGAAGGCUCCGUGAUUGGAUAGUGAAAUGAUAUUCCUGAUUGGAUAGUCAAAUGAUAUAUUAAUCUGAGCAUUCCCAUUAGAGGAGGAAGCAUCAAAUGUGGGAAAAAAGUACUUGUACUCAUAGGUUUGAUUUGUACUCGUAGAUUUGAUUUGUAGUGGUAAACUUGAGAUUCAUACAUACAAUUGAGUUCUGUGUGAACUUUUUCUCCCACAAACUGAUAGAUAUGUAACUGCAAACCUGAUGUGUAACUGCCAACCUUUUCCAAUCUCACACAUUGUGCAAAUCUUUCUCAUUUGUUCACAAA